GAGCCCAGUGCUCUUGUCUCUAUUACUUACUGCCUCACAUUUCUUUCUGUUGAUUGUUGCUGUGUGGAAAGUCAGAGUUGGGAGCAGGGGCUAUGAAGUUGAGCACAUAGGUGGAACAUUAGGGAGAGGGAGAUGAACGAGGCCAUACUAUUGCAAUCACUUGGGAAAAAAAUACAAAAUUUUCUGAAAAUACAAGAUGCUUUCUACUGCCACCAGACUUCCUUUGGAAGUUUUCCUACCGCUUAAUAACUAGGAACUUGUUGGCAUCUGACAGAGCAUCUCAGAUUUCUUAUGUAAAAUGUGGAAUUGUCAACAGUCAGAUGCUUCAAUGGCCAAGACUGUGGUGUGCAGUUUCUAUCAGCGUGUACAGGACAUCCUGCCUGGUUUUGGCCUCAAGGAAGCAAUGGUGAGAUUUUGUAGCUCACCGUCUCCUAGUUGGAGCAAAGGGUGCCAAACAGAGGUCAAGCUCGGGCCACAGGGAAACUGGGAAAAUACAUUCACGAUGUUCAUUGCCAUGUGCGAGGAGUCCAGUGGAUUUCAGAAAAGUUGUCUUCUGUGUCUCCUUAUAGGAUAUGGCAAUAGCCCCUUACUGGAAGAGCAUUUUUAGGUAAUCUCCAUGACAGGGUGACGUACACUGAUGUUGGAACAUUUAAAUAAAAAGAGUCUCACUGUGUA
ensembl:processed_transcript 1700108F19Rik RIKEN cDNA 1700108F19 gene